GGAAAUGUGGCUUAGUGGUAGAGUGCUUGCCUAGCAUGCAUGAAGCCUGGGUUCGAUUCCUCAAUACCA
rnacentral:tRNA from 1 species